UUAGGUUGAGGUUGUUUGCAGUGUUCAGGCUGCGAAUCUGUGAAAACCGUACCGUGCCUUAGAGAUCACCGAAGAGGCAAAAGGAACCUGCUUACAAAAUUUCAUGCUUAUACCUUUGAUAGUUUAAGAGAUCUCCUUAUGUGCACAUGCAUAAAUGAGUGGUAUUUUAAAAAUAUAUUUAAGAUAUACCAGUAUGGAGAAACUGAGAUGGUAUCUGAACAUAGUUAAAUUCAUUUUUCUACUGUAUAGUUCUAUCUCACUAAAUAUAUAUUUAUUUAUUGAUAUGUAUAGAUUUCAGAAAAGUGUAUGCAGAGAUAAGAGUAUUAAAUGUUAAUAGUAAUCAUCCAUGAGAUUUCCUAUGCUACAAGUUUAUUAAAGUAAAAAUUAUGUCAUAGCAUGAAGAAGUGUCAAAAACAGUAACAGUAAAUUAAAUCUUUAUUAUUUAAGUCCAUUCAUUCAAUGCUGUGAAUCAUAAUAUAUUCCAAUCAAUUGAUGUAAGAGUAUUUACAGCGAAAAAGUGUAAUAUACAUUUCAGGAAACAAUUAUACCAAAUCCAAAAUUGAAUAAAGAAAACAAAUGUAUACACAAGCCAUGAGUUGGAUAGGAUUGAAUAGAACACUUUAAAACAAACAAGAUGUCUGUAAAAUAUUGUCUAAAUUCAAUGCUAAUAAAUCUUUAUAAAGGACAUACUCAGACACAUCUCAUCUGUUCCAUGACUUUCAUCACAGGGGUGUGUCGCAACUAUUGAAUUAGUUGUAAAAAAAUUGUAUACGUCAUUCGCGCUAUUUUAUUUUUUUCUUGUGGUCUAGCUGCUCUCCCCUUGCGCUUCGUCAUAAAUGAUAUAUGACGUCAAACUUUUCUUCUUGAUCGUUUGGUAGAUUCUCUCCAUCUUGAGCCAAGUCCAAGUGUAUCUUUUGAGUUCCUGAAUUAUACUUGUGUCUUCGUUACUGGAUAGCCUUAGCGUUGUUAUAUAUUCUUGGAUUAUUUUGAUCCCUGUUUAGGGUGAGUUUUAUUUCACAUUGUAAAGUUAUUUUAAUGUGGAUUCGAUCGUAUUCUUUUAUAAUUAGAUUAGAGGAUUAGAAGAAUAUCUAUUAUUUGUCUUUCUAUAGGGUUUUCGUAUCAGAACUGAAGUGCUCAGUCUCAGAAGUGAGAUUUCAGUCUCAGGUUUUCUGUCUGAGGUUGUCGUUUCAGGUUUCGGGACUGAAGUUCGAGUCUGAGGUUCCAGAUUCCGGGUUUCUAUAUCCAGACUUGGUGUACAUUGUGAGUUUGCAAGUUGUGGUGCUACUCUGAACUUUAAUUCUACAUUGUUGAUGAACAGUAUCUUGGUUAGUAGAUCUACUCGUGUUACCAUUGUUAUAUGAAUUUCACGCCACCUGAUUACAGAGACUGUGUCUUGAGAUGGAACCUUGAUGAGGUCAUAAGCUGUUCUUAGCUGAUAUCGACAAGGAGCCUGGUCUUUAUAAUUCUGUUGUGGGAUUCACUUGUGCUAACACAGGCUACUAGUGUUCUUAUAAUGCUGACAUAUACAUACAAUCAAUGAAUAGUACAGAAUUAUAGACAAAAUAUAUCAUUAUUUAUUUCAUGUAUUAGUAAUGUCAGAGCAUUUCCAAGAAAAAGACCAAAAAAAAAAAAGUUAUUGCAACAAUGAGCAAUUGACUAUUUGAACAAUGUCUUAAAACUCAGAAAUACCUGAUAAUAUCUUUCUUAUUCCCAUUGCUAGUAGUUGUUCUUUUCAAUGCAAUAUUUGAGCAUAAAAAUGCUUGAACAAGUCUAGAAAAAAAAAAUUUCUAUAAAACUGCUAUUAAUAUAAAAAAAUGUGGCCAAAAUUCAUCUAGAAGCAAGUCAAUAAUUAGGUCACUAUGUAUAACAUGUUAAUAUUGAAUGAUUAAAUGAAUCAGGCAUUGUCUGACAUUGUCUAAAAACAAGCACCCAGAGUGGAACAUUUAUAAGACAAAACUGAUGAGACUGUUGCAAAUUCCUUACAUUAAGGUAAAUAAAAAAAAGGACAAUUUCAUGGCCAAGUUUAGUUGUUUUUUUUAUACUUAUCUUUUAUAUUUAAAAACACAAAGGUUUUCAUACAGAAACAUAUUAAACAUGAGAUGUGUAAACUGUUUUUUUUUAAUAUGUUGAGCUUUAAGUUAUAAAUAUUUUUUUAGUAAAUCGCUUACAAAAAUUAUUUCCUUGUCAUUUUUUUCCUUUGUGAUCUUAAAUAAUGUAAUUU